AAUGUAUGUUUGUCAGGUGGCAGUAUUGCCUCAAGAAUUCAUAACGGUUAGAAACCGUGCAGUUUUAGUGUUGAAGUGUAUUCUUGGACAGUGGUAGUGAAACUAUGCAGUUUUAGUUUUUCAGCAAAUACCAACAAGAGUGGUGUUUCAUUAAUCUAAACCACGCAUUUCUACUUUGGAAUGGCAUCAGGUGUGAUAAGUGGCCCUAAUGCAAAUGGUCUAACAGUUACAGGUGAUACAAGGCAUAAUAUUAAUACCAAUAGUAAUAGUGCUAAUCAAUUACGUGACUGUGUUUGUUUAAUUUUACGAUGGUUAAUUGAAGACAAAUUUGCACUUAUUCAGGAUGAAGGUGGGCGAGGCUAUUGGUUUCCUUACAAAAUUAUCUUGACCAACCAAAGUUGGUAUGAAGGUGUAUCAGAAGUUAAAGAACAGUUUAUGAACUUUGAAAUAUCUUGGAAAUUGGUCCACAUGAUUCGUCAAAAAAUAAAACCUAUCAGUUGUUACAACACUCUAGCCAUCUUUUAUGCAGAAGUGGACUUCAGUCUUUUGAAAUUAAACUUGGAAGUGGAGAACACAAAACUGAAAUGGUGUUCACUGACUGACAUGGAGAAGCUUUUACAUGAAGAGCCAGGUUUACUUGGAUUGGAACCAUUAGAGUUUGCGAAUGAGAUUAUAAACAACAGCGAUUGGCAGUCAUCAUUUGCAUUGAAAGAAGUUUCUUUUGAAGAUGUCCUUCUUAAUAAUCUUUGCACCAAAUCACCAGAUGUUAGACCUCAUUAUAAACUUCUCUUAGAAUCUGCAAAAUUCAGUGAAAAAGAUGAACAACAAAUAUAUGCCGAUUAUAUGAGUUUCUGUUAUCCUAGUCAGUUUAUGAACAGAACUGUUUUUCAACAAUACCUUAAAUGCCUUGGAUGGACAGAUUCCACUUUAACUGGGCAAAUUUUUCAGGGACGUGACAGCUGUUGUAUAACAAGUGGUGGACUCUUGUAGUUGGCCUGUGCAUCUUUUGAGCCUUGACACAGUCUUCUCUCCUCCUAUAAUUCUUGUCCGUGAAGACAUGGAUUUUAGGCAAGUUUUUCCCACCUCCUAAAUUUGUAAACAAAUCUUCCAUUGCAAACGUGGAUCUACCUCAACAUUCUCCAUAUUUCUCAGUGCACUGGAUUCACUCAGCCGUGGGAUUCUCACCUAUAAAGAUGUAGUAUUGGGCCUUGCAGCCAUGGAACCAUGCAC
rnacentral:misc_RNA from 1 species